GAUGAACGCUAGCGGCAGGCCUAAUACAUGCAAGUCGAACGGUGUCUUCGGACAUAGUGGCGCACGGGUGCGUAACACGUAUGCAACCUACCUUACAUUGGGGGAUAGCCUUUCGAAAGGGAGAUUAAUACCGCAUAAGACAGUAGCUGGGCAUCCAGCAGCUGUUAAAGAUUUAUCGAUGUAAGCUGGGCAUGCGUCCAAUUAGCUAGUUGGUGGGGUAACGGCUCACCAAGGCAAUGAUUGGUAGGGGAACUGAGAGGUCAAUUCCCCACACUGGCACUGAGAUACGGGCCAGACUCCUACGGGAGGCAGCAGUAGGGAAUAUUGGGCAAUGGACGCAAGUCUGACCCAGCCAUGCCGCGUGCAGGAUGAAGGCGUUAUGCGUUGUAAACUGCUUUUAUACAGGAAGAAACGACUCUUGCGAGAGGCAUUGACGGUACUGUAUGAAUAAGCACCGGCUAACUCCGUGCCAGCCGCCGCAGUAAUAC
rnacentral:rRNA from 1 species